GUCUGUGUAGCUCACUUGGUAGAGCAUGGCGUUGACACUGCCAGGGUUAGGGGUUUGAUUCCCACUGCAGCCA